rnacentral:rRNA from 1 species
CAGUAGCCGCGGGAAUACGUAGGGUGCAAGCGUUAAUCGGAAUUACUGGGCGUAAAGCGUGCGCAGGCGGUUCUAUAAGACAGAUGUGAAAUCCCCGGGCUCAACCUGGGAACUGCAUUUGUGACUGUAGAGCUGGAGUGCGGCAGAGGGGGAUGGAAUUCCGCGUGUAGCAGUGAAAUGCGUAGAUAUGCGGAGGAACACCGAUGGCGAAGGCAAUCCCCUGGGCCUGCACUGACGCUCAUGCACGAAAGCGUGGGGAGCAAACAGGAUUAGAUACCCCUGUAGUCCCUGUCUCUUAUAC